UGUAAUUGAGGAGCUGCCAAGGCACAUCUGGAUAUUUUUCUUCUUCUUCUUCUUCUUUGUGUUAGGGACUGAUGUGCAACUAAUUAAAGGCAGACAGGCUGGUAGCGUCUGCACACUCAAGCCCCCCCAAAUAAAGAGCCUGCUGCGGCAGCUCCCGUGAGGAUGCCGGAGGAACGGCUGCCCGGCCAAGCACCGACCGCGGGGAUGCGUCCGGAGGAGGAGGAGGAUUAAGCGACCCCCCCCCCGCCCCGUCCCUCUCCCCCCGGCCCCCCCCCCCCCCCCCCCCCCCCCCCCCCCCCCCCCCCCCCCCCCCCCCCCCCCAACACCAACGUGUGCGUGGAGAGCGGCCCCAACCCCGAGGCGCCGGGGCUGCCCAAGGACAGCCACCUGCCCGAGGGGGCCCUCAACAGCCUUGUGGAUUACAACUCGGAGAUGGAGAGGUACCGCUCCUUCGCCACCUUCUACAAGACCAACGGCGGCGCCUUCCCCCAGGCGGCCAAGAUCGCCCGCAUCACCACCCCCAUCUUCCCCAGCGCGGCCGCCGCCGCCGCCGCCCGCAUCGGCAUGUCCCCCUGGAACUGCGAC
rnacentral:lncRNA from 1 species